rnacentral:rRNA from 1 species
GACGAACGCUGGCGGCGUGCCUAAUACAUGCAAGUAGAACGCUGAAGGAGGAGCUUGCUUCUCUGGAUGAGUUGCGAACGGGUGAGUAACGCGUAGGUAACCUGCCUGGUAGCGGGGGAUAACUAUUGGAAACGAUAGCUAAUACCGCAUAAGAGUAGAUGUUGCAUGACAUUUGCUUAAAAGGUGCAAUUGCAUCACUACCAGAUGGACCUGCGUUGUAUUAGCUAGUUGGUGAGGUAACGGCUCACCAAGGCGACGAUACAUAGCCGACCUGAGAGGGUGAUCGGCCACACUGGGACUGAGACACGGCCCAGACUCCUACGGGAGGCAGCAGUAGGGAAUCUUCGGCAAUGGACGGAAGUCUGACCGAGCAACGCCGCGUGAGUGAAGAAGGUUUUCGGAUCGUAAAGCUCUGUUGUAAGAGAAGAACGAGUGUGAGAGUGGAAAGUUCACACUGUGACGGAUCUACUAGAAAGGACG